rnacentral:misc_RNA from 1 species
CAACACUCAAGCUCUGCUUGGUAUUGGGCGCCGCCCGCUACGGGCGCGCCUUAAACUCCUCGGCGUCGCCGUCCGUCUUUAAGCGCAGCGAGAUCACCUUCCAGCGUUUUCAAAGCCGGGCCUCGGUUGCCGGAGAACAAGCCUUUAUUAUUCAA